UACGAAGGGGGCUAGCGUUGCUCGGAAUCACUGGGCGUAAAGCGCACGUAGGCGGAUUGUUAAGUCAGGGGUGAAAUCCUGGAGCUCAACUCCAGAACUGCCUUUGAUACUGACGAUCUCGAGUCCGGGAGAGGUGAGUGGAACUGCGAGUGUAGAGAUGAAAUUCGUAGAUAUUCGCAAGAACACCAGUGGCGAAGGCGGCUCACUGGUCCAUUACUGACGCUGAGGUGCGAAAGCGUGGGGAGCAAACAGG
rnacentral:rRNA from 1 species